rnacentral:rRNA from 1 species
AAUAUUGGACAAUGGGAGAGAGUCUGAUCAAGCCAUCACGCGUGCAGGAAGAAUGCCUUAUGGGUNUUACACUGCUUUUAUACAGGNAUAAACCACUUUACGUGUAAGGUGUUGAAGGUACUGUAUGAAUAAGCAGCGGCUAACGCUGUGACAGCAGCCUCGGUAAUACGGAGGAUGCAAGCGUUAUCCGGAUUUAUUGGGUUUAAAGGGUCCGUAGGCAGGCAUAUAAGUCAGGGGUGAAAUCCGACAGCUUAACUGUCGAACUGCCUUAGAAACUGAAUGUCUUGAGUGAGAUUGAAGCAGCUGGAAUGUGUAGUGUAGCGGUGAAAUGCAUAGAUAUUACACAGAACACCGAUAGCGUAGGCAGGUUGCUAAGUCUAUACUGACGCUGAUGGACGACAGCGUGGGGAGCAAAC